UGGGGAAUAUUGCACAAUGGGCGCAAGCCUGAUGCAGCCAUGCCGCGUGUAUGAAGAAGGCCUUCGGGUUGUAAAGUACUUUCAGCGGGGAGGAAGGGAGUAAAGUUAAUACCUUUGCUCAUUGACGUUACCCGCAGAAGAAGCACCGGCUAACUCCGUGACAGCAGCCGCGGUAAUACGGAGGGUGCAAGCGUUAAUCGGAAUUACUGGGCGUAAAGCGCACGCAGGCGGUUUGUUAAGUCAGAUGUGAAAUCCCCGGGCUCAACCUGGGAACUGCAUCUGAUACUGGCAAGCUUGAGUCUCGUAGAGGGGGGUAGAAUUCCAGGUGUAGCGGUGAAAUGCGUAGAGAUCUGGAGGAAUACCGGUGGCGAAGGCGGCCCCCUGGACGAAGACUGACGCUCAGGUGCGAAAGCGUGGGGAGCAAACAGG
rnacentral:rRNA from 1 species